rnacentral:rRNA from 1 species
UACGGGGGGGGCAAGCGUUGUUCGGAUUUACUGGGCGUAAAGGGUGUGCAGGCGGCUGACCAAGUGGUGUAUGAAAUCGCCGGGCUUAACCGGGCGAGGCUAUGCCAGACUGGUCGGCUAGAGUGCGGGAGAGGGACGUGGAAUUCCGGGUGUAGUGGUGAAAUGCGUAGAGAUCCGGAGGAACCCCAGAGGCGAAGGCGGCGUCCUGGCCCGACACUGACGCUCAGACACGACAGCAUGGGGAGCGAACGGG